GACGAACCGAGCGAACGUUGUUCGGAAUCACUGGGCUUAAAGGGCGCGUAGGCGGGCUCUCAAGUCCGGGGUGAAAUCCCACAGCUCAACUGUGGAACUGCCUCGGAUACUGAGGGUCUCGAGGGUGGUAGGGGUAUGCGGAACUAUCGGUGGAGCGGUGAAAUGCGUUGAUAUCGAUAGGAACUCCGGUGGCGAAGGCGGGUCUCUGGACAGUUCCUGACGCUGAGGCACGAAGGCCAGGGGAGCAAACGGG
rnacentral:rRNA from 1 species